UCUGGCCUCGGCCCGAGUUGUAAUUUGCAGAGGAUGCUUCUGGCGCGGUGCCUUCCGAGUUCCCUGGAACGGGACGCCACAGAGGGUGAGAGCCCCGUAUGGUCGGACACCAAGCCUGUGUGAAGCUCCUUCGACGAGUCGAGUAGUUUGGGAAUGCUGCUCUAAAUGGGAGGUAAAUCUCUUCUAAAGCUAAAUACCGGCCAGAGACCGAUAGCGCACAAGUAGAGUGAUCGAAAGAUGAAAAGCACCUUGAAAAGGGGGUUAAAUAGUACGUGAAAUUGUUGAAAGGGAAGCACUUGUGACCAGACUUGGGCCGGGCGGCUCAUCAGGGGUUCUCCCCUGUGCACUCCGCCCGGCACAGGCCAGCAUCGGUUCUCGUGGGGGGAUAAGACCGUCAGGAACGUAGCACCCUCCGGGGUGUGUUAUAGCCUGGCGGACGAUACCCCCGUGGGGACCGAGGUUCGCGCUCCGCAAGGAUGCUGGCGUAAUGGUCACCAGUGACCCGUCUUGAAACACGGACCAAGGAGUCGUCCAUUAGAGCGAGCGUUUGGGUGUAAAACCCGCACGCGUAAUGAAAGUGAACGCAGGUGAGAGCUUCGGCGCAUCAUCGACCGAUCCUGAUGUUCUCGGAAGGAUUUGAGUAAGAGUUUUAACGGACGGACCCGAAAGACAGUGAACUAUGCUUGUAUAGGGUGAAGCCAGAGGAAACUCUGGUGGAGGCUCGCAGCGGUUCUGACGUGCAAAUCGAUCGUCAAAUAUGAGCAUGGGGGCGAAAGACUAAUCGAACUGUCUAGUAGCUGGUUACCGCCGAAGUUUCCCUCAGGAUAGCAGUGUUGAUCUUCAGUUUUAUGAGGUAAAGCGAAUGAUUAGGGACUCGGGGGCGCUAUAUAGCCUUCAUCCAUUCUCAAACUUUAAAUAUGUAAGAAGCCCUUGUUACUUAGUUGAACGUGGGCAUUCGAAUGUACCAACACUAGUGGGCCAUUUUUGGUAAGCAGAACUGGCGAUGCGGGAUGAACCGAACGCGGGGUUAAGGCGCCAGAGUGUACGCUCAUCAGACACCACAAAAGGCGUUAGUACAUCUUGACAGCAGGACGGUGGCCAUGGAAGUCGGAAUCCGCUAAGGACUGUGUAACAACUCACCUGCCGAAUGUACUAGCCCUGAAAAUGGAUGGCGCUCAAGCGUACCGCCCAUACCCCGCCCCCAGGGUAGAAACGAUGCCCUGGGGAGUAGGCGGCCGUGGGGG
rnacentral:rRNA from 2 species